rnacentral:sRNA from 1 species
UAACAAACUGAGAGAUUACGCAGAUGG